GGCCUGUUGCGGGCAGAUAAAGUGGAUAUGUGCGUCCAUGCCGCCCGCAGUCAGGAUGCGGCCUUCGCCUGCGAUAAUCUCGGUGCUGGGGCCGAUGAUGAUAUCGACGCCCGAUUGCGUGUCGGGGUUACCCGCCUUGCCGAUUUUGUGGAUAAGCCCGUCGCGCAGGCCGACAUCGGCCUUAUAGAUGCCGGAAUGAUCCAAGAUCAGCGCAUUGGUGAUCACGGUGUCCACCGCCCCGCCUGCCCGCGGGAUCUGGCUUUGGCCCAUGCCGUCGCG
rnacentral:sRNA from 1 species